CAUGUGCAUGCACACAGAUGCAAAACUUGCACCUGCAAGCACUGUGCACACAGCCAAGCGCAAUGCACGCUCUGAUGUUCAGCUCCAUCUCUGCACACCCCCGUAUGCACGCAUACCUGCACUCACAGCUCGAGGACAAAAUGCUGCUGGCAUGGCACAGCCAACACGCAGGCGGUGGGCAACAUCAGGAGGAAAGGCCCCCCUUUACGCUCAUUCAUUCUCCUCUCUUUAAUGAAUGUAUUGGUGCACCACUGGAGCCCCAUCCUGAGAUGUGUUUUGCUGUGGGGUUCCUCGUCGGUGGGAUAUGGGGAUCCUGGGAUGGUGAUGGGGGUCCUGUCACGGACUGUGGAACUCUGAGGACCCAGGAGAGGACUGAGGGCGUAAGGGAGGUCUGAGGAAGAAAACAAGGGGGUUCAGUGUGAGCUCAGAGGGGGAUGUGUGCUGCUGCUGGGGACUGCAGAAGCCUGUGAUGGCCCAGCUUCUCUGUGGGGGAAAUGUGCUGAGUCUGAGAAGGUCCUUGAGGAGCUAUAGGGCUCUCUGGGGGUGUGUUUGGAGGAUAUAGGGACAUUAAGGGAUGUGGGAACACAGGCAGCAGGAGCAGAAUGCUGUUCAGGAGAAAACAAGACGUGGGCUGCAGGUGGGACACAGGGGCAUGGGCUAGUAUGGGGACGUAGAGAGUAUGGGAGGAUGUGGGGAGCGGUUUGAGGUAAAAAGGGGGGGGGAGUGGACAGAGUUUGCAGUGGUUUCAUUUCAUCCUGAGAGGGGACUGGGCGUCCCUGUGGCCCAAAGGUGGGGCCCUGAGCCGUAACCCCACAUGAGCCAUAAACCAAGAUGACCUCAUCGCCCUCUAUGUGCGUGACCCCAUGGCUGCACGUGACCCAGAGCCCUGGGGGAACCAUAUCCCCACAUGAUCCUGUGACUCCCUGACUCUGCCUGCCCCCAUCACGCUAUGACCCGACGCCAUGUGGCCCAUAACUCUGGGAUCCCUGCCCCCACCUCACCCCGACCAUACCACCCAUGUGAUCCGUAACUCCAUGUCACCCCAUCUGACCCUACCAUCCAAUCUGACCCUAUCACUGUGAUUCGAAACCCCAUCUAAACCCAUAGCCACACAUAACCCCGUAACUCUGUGACCCUGCAGGACCCCCAUGUGACCCACGACCCCAUGUCCUCACCUGAUGUUGCCAUAGAAACAGCAUGUUUUCAUGCCAUAGAAACAGCAUGUCACCUCAUGUGGACGUAGAACCAGCUGCGUGUGGGGAAAAGGCAUCUCCUUCUCGGGGUGAGGCUGCCCCACAGCUGCCCCAAAGAAGCCAUGGGGAGGGCUGCAGCCAUACGCCUCAGUUUGGAGAGCUGGGAAUUGGCCAAAGGGGCCAGGAGAAGGACAUGAAUGCUUCUGUAGGGAAAUACCUGUCCCAGGGUUUGGUGGGUUGGUAGCUUCUGUUUCUGUAAGUGCAUGAGAACAGAACAAACUGAUCCCACUGAGACCAGGGAAGGGACUGGAGCUUGGCUUGAACCAAGAACGGAGCAGGGAUGGACUGAAGCAAAUCAACUCUUUCAUGGGACAGUGGCAGAAGAAACCCAAGUCAGCUGCAGAACAAACAACACAACCCCUUACAAAAGGGCGUCCCAGACUGGGGCCGUUGCAGCAGUAGGGGCAGUGCCUCUUGGAAGGCAUCUCGCGGUGGGGAAGAAACUGCUCCAACAUCUGCACUUGCAGCAGCUGCUGCAACGACCCCGAGAAAUGGGCAGAGCACUCUGAGGGCAGCGCAGCACGAGGAAAAGGAAUGCACGGUGGUGCAGAACGAGCGCAGAAGGAUGGGGAGCAGCAGCGGUGGGAUCCCCCUUUGGCACGGCCACCCACCGCUACGGGACUGCAACAAGGAGCUGCACCCUGCCGUGGUCAGCAUGGCUCUGUGUGCCAGCUGUGUGCUGCUGGAAAGCACCCGAGCAGUUACGGGUGGGAGAGUGGCAGAGGAAAUCAUCCGAACAUCUGCAGGGAUAGCACAAGGCAGGCUCAGUGUGACGGCUGUGUCAUCGUGCAGCAGACAGAUGCUGAGCAGAGCACAGCAGGGCCAGGACGUUCUGACCAGGGGGAGGUGGAGAGUGCACACGAGAUAAGGCACAGCUGCAGGACGGAGCAUGAGACCCAGCACGUGCAACAGCUGCAAGAAAUCCUGCCUGCCUGUCGGCAUAGAAAAGCACACAAUCAGCCCGAAAGGAACACGUUGGCCAUAGACGACACCUGGAAAAACUGCACAGCGGAUGCGUGGUGGAGACUGUGAGCCUGCAGUGCCCAGCCAAGGGGGAACAGGAGAGCAGUGGGUGCCAUGGGAGGAGAGCUACAGGAGCAGAAGGAGCUCACAGAGGAGAGUGCAGUAACGCCACAGCAAUCAGGAAUGAGCUUUGCUGCUGCACUGAGAGCUGUGCCUGGUGGAACAUCAGGGAUGUGAGCGUUUCUCGCACACCCCACUGGCACUUGGGUUGAUGUGCUGGGAUGUAGGGAAGCCUUAUGGUGUUGUGGGGCAGCUAAAGGACGCCUAUGGGAGGGCUUCAGGAGCACUUUGGGGCAGCUUUGGAGCAGAGCCACACCUGGGAGCUGCCUUUACCCAACACACUGCUGCUGGUGGAACUGCUGCUGGCCACGGGCUGCGGGCAGUGAUGGGGCUGCUCUGGGGCAGCUCUACGAUGGCUCUGGGGCUGCUCUGGGCAGCUAUGGGAUACACGCAUGGAGCCUCUUCCUUACCCCCAACAAACCCCUCGACCUCCAUUUGGCCCCCCAAGAUGAGGGCAAGAUGAGCGUCAGAGGAUUAUUCAGGCUGCUGACCUACAGUGGCCCCAGAGCCACCUUAUAGUACCCCCUGAACAAGCCAGGAACAGACCCAUCCCUGCCCACAGCCUCAUAUGGGGUUAUGGUGCUCACAGGGUUAUGGGUCAUGUGGAGCCUCGGGGUCACGCGGAGUAGUAUGUGGUACUGGGCUCAUGUGGGGUUAUGGAUCAGGGCUCCACCUUUGGGCUGCAGGGAACCCCAAUCCCCUCUCAGGAAGAAAUCAAUGAAUGCACUCCAGCACUACUCCACAUCCUCCGUUCUGACCCCAAACCGCUCCCCACGAGCCCCCAGACCCCCCACGUACCCAUGCCACCUGACGUCCCCGCAC
rnacentral:lncRNA from 1 species